rnacentral:rRNA from 1 species
GAUGAACGCUGGCGGCGUGCCUAACACAUGCAAGUCGAACGGAGAUUACGGACGGAAGUUUUCGGAUGGAAGCCUGUAGUUCUUAGUGGCGGACGGGUGAGUAACGCGUGGGCAACCUGCCCUAUACAGGGGGAUAGCAGCUGGAAACGGCUGGUAAGACCGCAUAAGUCGGUUAAAUCGCAUGAUUUGAUCGGGAAAUGAGCAAUCAGGUAUAGGAUGGGCCCGCGUCCGAUUAGCCAGUUGGCAGGGUAAAAGCCUACCAAAGCGACGAUCGGUAGCCGGACUGAGAGGUCGGACGGCCACAUUGGGACUGAGACACGGCCCAAACUCCUACGGGAGGCAGCAGUGGGGGAUAUUGCACAAUGGAGGAAACUCUGAUGCAGCGACGCCGCGUGAGUGAAGAAGUAUUUCGGUAUGUAAAGCUCUAUCAGCAGGGAAGAUGAUGACGGUACCUGACGAAGAAGCCCCGGCUAACUACGUG